UACGAAGGGAGCUAGCGUUGUUCGGAAUCACUGGGCGUAAAGCGCACGUAGGCGGAUGUGUCAGUCAGGGGUGAAAUCCCGGAGCUCAACUCCGGAACUGCCCUUGAUACAGCACGUCUUGAGUCCGAGAGAGGUGAGUGGAACUGCGAGUGUAGAGGUGAAAUUCGUAGAUAUUCGCAAGAACACCAGUGGCGAAGGCGGCUCACUGGCCCGGUACUGACGCUGAGGUGCGAAAGCUAGGGGAGCAAACAGG
rnacentral:rRNA from 1 species